UACAUUUUCUCACCUCCUACCUCCUUUCAGGUGACAUUACGGGUCCGAAUCGGGACAGUGCGUGAAACGCGUAUCUAGCGGUCGAUUAGAGCUUCCGACCCGGUGGAUUUAGUUUAAGCUCCUAACUUAACUUUCUCAAAUAAAUGACUUAGAUAUUAUGGUUCAGUGGGUUUUCAGUUUAUUUGGAUUCACGUGAUUUUGUGAAAUUAAUAAUGUAAUUAUGAUUUUUCAAUGAGAUUAUGAAAAUAGUUUUCUACCUCUUGUGGUAGUAUAUUUUCAAAGAAAAAGAGUUUUCGUGUGUAAAACGGUUUUAAAAAGAGUUUUAUUGUUUUUAUGACUCCUAAUAUUUCAAAAUAAGUUUCUGGGUAUGAAACGUUUUAAACUAAUAGAUGUGAAAUUAUGAGUAUCUGUGAUGGACGUGAAUGAUGUAUGUGAAUGGUGAUUGUAUGUGGAUGUUCACAUUGUGUGCUCGUAUCUUGUACUUGUGCGACGCCGUGCAAAUAUAGGGAAGACUCUGU
rnacentral:lncRNA from 1 species